rnacentral:tmRNA from 1 species
GGGGGUGAAAGGGAUUCGACUCAGAGGAAGAGUGAAAAGCUGCAUGCCAGCGGGUUGGCCAGCUGUAAGAGGCCUUCAAAAUAUAGGUGCAAACGCCUAUGUAACCACUCCUGCUUACGCUUUAAGCUAAGCGGGGCUUUCAUGCUUUCCUGCCUCAGGGGAGCAUGAGGGUUCGGAAUUGAGGAUAGGAAUGAGUUCUUAACUCUGGGGGCUCAUUCUGAAAAUUUACAGAGAUGCUUUCUGGCGAAUCCUGCCUUUCGGAGCCGCCAGAAAAAAGAUUAAAAGAGAGGAUAAGCAUGUAGAUGCUUUUCGUGAGGCCUUUGAGGACGCGGGUUCGAUUCCCGCCACCUCCACCA